AGGACAACCCUGUAUAAUUACGGUUUAUAACAUUAUUUUACUGUAUUAUUGCUUCAAGGAAAUAAAACAGCAAUUUCUUGUAAUUUUUGCAUUGCAUUUUGGGAAAAAGAAUGUGAGACCACAUGCUUGGAAGGAGAGCGGAGUAAGAAGACAAAUUUCCACCCAACUCCAUCCUAACAACAAACAGGAAUCCGUCACAGCAACUGAUAUGGAGAGAACCCUCCCACUUCCCACAACUCCUCGGCUGAUACUGCAUGGCGGGACAUCGGGAUCAACCCUGAGCGGGACACAAAGGCUGUACAGGGCAAAGAGAAGGUCAAAAAGAGCUCUGGCAGACCUCCGCUCUCAAGUCUCCUAAAAAGAGUAAUGGACUUCGAGUGGGACUUCAUGUAGUCAGUGAUACACACACGCAGACACAGACAUACACACACAUACACACACACGCAGUCACAGACAUACACACACACGCAGACACACACAUGCAGACACACACAGCGAUUCCUAAUACAGUGCAUAGCUGUAUGUAUGUUCAAUUUCAAUAAAGACAGACAUGGUUUGAAAAGACA